GAGGGGUUCGUCAGGGGGAUCGGGUUCACUCCCAACCCCAUGUGAACGUUACCAAUCUGUUGCCUCGGCGGGAUUCUCUUGCCCCGGGCGCGUCGCAGCCCCGGAUCCCAUGGCGCCCGCCGGAGGACCAACUCCAAACUCUUUUUUUCUCUCCGUCGCGGCUCCCGUCGCGGCUCUGUUUUAUUUUUGCUCUGAGCCUUUCUCGGCGACCCUAGCGGGCGUCUCGAAAAUGAAUCAAAACUUUCAACAACGGAUCUCUUGGUUCUGGCAUCGAUGAAGAACGCAGCGAAAUGCGAUAAGUAAUGUGAAUUGCAGAAUUCAGUGAAUCAUCGAAUCUUUGAACGCACAUUGCGCCCGCCAGUAUUCUGGCGGGCAUGCCUGUCCGAGCGUCAUUUCAACCCUCGAACCCCUCCGGGGGGUCGGCGUUGGGGAUCGGCCCCUCACCGGGCCGCCCCCGAAAUACAGUGGCGGUCUCGCCGCAGCCUCUCCUGCGCAGUAGUUUGCACACUCGCACCGGGAGCGCGGCGCGGCCACAGCCGUAAAACACCCCAAACUUCUGAAAUGUUGACCUCGGAUCAGGUAGGAAUACCCGCUGAACUUAAGCAUAUCAAUAAGGGGAAAGAA
rnacentral:rRNA from 1 species